UCAACAUCAGUCCACACACUCUUGGACUUAGAAACACUCUCAUUCUUUGGUCUAGGAGCCGAAUACUUCCUCUGAGGAGGGGGAGUAACAGUUUCCGGCUGGUUAUGAACAUUGGUAGCAUCUACGUUGAUUUUCUUUUCCGGCAAUUUAUUACUAACAGCAUCAUUGACAUUGGCAUUGGCAUCAAGAGCAUUUUUGUUAUCGGGUUCAACUUGAUUCUCACUCAUAGGAACAUCAGUUGGCAAUGUGUCAGUCUUAUCCUCGGCAGAUGUUUUCCCAUUUUCACUGGCAUUUUGAUUCUCCAGCUUGUCAGUUGAUACUUCCUCCUGAACACUGGCAUCAACAAGGUUGACAUCAGAGCCACCCGCCAAAUUUUGAUCUUGACUCGGCAUUUCAGUAUCUUCCAUUCUGUAGUACUGUAAAAGAGAGAUUGUAGAGAGGCGAGGUGGUGAAGAAAAGGAAGGAGAAGAGGUCGAACAGUGUCGUGUUAGGGUUAGGUUAGGUGCAGAGGUUGGACAAUGCAGGUAAAGGAAAGAGGUCAGGGAGGGAUAUAAAGAGAGCUGCGAAAUCUACUAAUUCUUAUCCAGCAAACAUAGAAAGCAACGUUCAUGACAGGUAGAAGGUACAGGUGGAUUGCCAAAAUUUUAUUCAAAAAGAGAAGAAAAAGGAAAGUUGAAACCCGGCGGUGGUGGUGCUGGUGGUGGUUGUGGAACUGGAGCGUGUUCGAGAUAACAAGGGCAAAAAUGAAAAUUGG
rnacentral:misc_RNA from 1 species